rnacentral:pre_miRNA from 1 species
UCUUGUGAAUGAACAAAGAAAUUGGUUUCUUGAGAUGGAAUCUAUUCCUGCUGGAGAUGCUGUGAA